CCAUCCUUGACAGAAUCCGAAGAAGAUGAACAAAAAUUAAGUAGUGACAGCAAAAACCAACUCUUGGUUUUAGGUCUUGGUCGUGUUGGAGAAGAAAUUGCUCGAAUGGCUUUGGAA
rnacentral:ribozyme from 1 species